AUUGAACGCUGGCGGCAGGCUUAACACAUGCAAGUCGAGCGGGGUGAUGGUGCUUGCACUAUCACUUAGCGGCGGACGGGUGAGUAAUGCUUAGGAAUCUGCCUAUUAGUGGGGGACAACAUCUCGAAAGGGAUGCUAAUACCGCAUACGUCCUACGGGAGAAAGCAGGGGAGCACUUGCGACCUUGCGCUAAUAGAUGAGCCUAAGUCGGAUUAGCUAGUUGGUGGGGUAAAGGCCUACGAAGGCGACGAUCUGUAGCGGGUCGGUGAGGAUGAUCCGCGACACUGGGACUGAGACACGGCCCAGAGUCCUGCGGGAGGCAGCAGUGGGGAAUAUUUGACAAUGGGGGGAAGCCUGAACCAGCCAUGCCGCGUGUGUGAAGAAGGCCUUAUGGUUGUAAAGCACUUUAAGCGAGGAGGGUGCUCUUUUGGUUAAUACCCAAGAUGUGUGGACGUUACUCGCAGAAUAAGCACCGGCUAACUCUGUGCCAGCCGCCGCAGUAA
rnacentral:rRNA from 1 species